UCUAGUUUUUUGUUAGGUCUGGGGAGACUGCUCAAGGAGUUCUGAUCAGUAGAUUUAUCUGGAGAGGUAUUCCAGAAUGCCUAGUGUUAAAUUCCACAUUGCUUUAGGUCCUUGGCUGUCUGGAGGAGGAUGCUGGUUAGAAGAAGAAUCCCCUGAACUCAUCAAGCAAAAAAUAAGCACAGAAGUAGCAAAUCCUUCCUUGCCCUCAGGAUACUUUUGUAGAAACAGGAAAAGGGCUGAAUUUUUUCAUCUGAGUUGACAAACAGCAAAAGAGAAUAUGGAAGUGGAAGCUGGUGAUCGAGGAGAAAUGAGAAAUGGCCGAAACCAUUGGGAAGGCAUCAUAAACCGUGGUUUACUACAGGACACAUUCAUACUGAGAUAUGGCCUCCGGCUCAGGGCCUGCACAUCACUACAUGGAAACGACUAUGAACCACAUAAAUACAAUUUGCUAAACCCAAAUUAAAUCUGUCUCCAACUUUAACACAAUUCCAGAGGUGCUCAUGGCCACUCCAGUACUUCAGAUGAAAGCAGAAGUGUGAAGGAAGCCACAUGGAACGAGACAGAAACACAGGGUGCUCAAUGGCACAGUUUAGACUGUUGCCUCACCUUCUCAGUAAAGCAGGAACCUUCAAGAAGCCGUCGGAGCUCUCUCCCUCUUUGACGUGGGAAGACUCAAGACAACACAUGCUGUAGUCAUUGGUGCUGCCACGUUCCCAUCAUCCAUCUGCCCUCUUUUCUCAGCUGAUACUUCCAUCUACUCCUUGAUGUUUCCUCAGAAAGUCUCUUUGUCAUCUUGUGCUUCAUUUCUACACCUAUAGAAAUUGGUCAGAAUGAAACUAUAAAGUUUACACAU